ACAAUGGGCGCAAGCCUGAUGGAGCAACACCGCGUGAGUGAAGAAGGGUUUCGGCUCGUAAAGCUCUGUUGUUAAAGAAGAACACGUAUGAGAGUAACUGUUCAUACGUUGACGGUAUUUAACCAGAAAGUCACGGCUAACUACGUGCCAGCAGCCGCGGUAAUACGUAGGUGGCAAGCGUUAUCCGGAUUAUUGGGCGUAAAGAGAGUGCAGGCGGUUUCUAAGUCUGAUGUGAAAGCCUUCGGCUUAACCGGAGAAGUGCAUCGGAAACUGGAUAACUUGAGUGCAGAAGAGGGUAGUGGAACUCCAUGUGUAGCGGUGGAAUGCGUAGAUAUAUGGAAGAACACCAGUGGCGAAGGCGGCUACCUGGUCUGCAACUGACGCUGGGACUCGAAAGCAUGGGUAGCGAACAGGAUUAGAUACCCUGGUAG
rnacentral:rRNA from 1 species